rnacentral:tRNA from 1 species
GCGUCGGUGGUUCAGUGGUAGAAUACUCGCCUGCCACGCGGGUGACCCGGGUUCAAUUCCCGGCUGGCGCA